GAGUGCGCGUCCGUAGCAAUACGGAUGGCGCACGGCGCACGGGUGCGUAACACGUGGGCAAUCUGCCCUCCGAUGGGGAAUAACCCCGCGAAAGCGGGGCUAAUUCCGCAUAACAUUCCCUGGACUCCGGUUCGGGGAUUCAAAGCAGCAAUGCGUCGGAGGAGGAGCCCGCGCCCGAUUAGCUAGUUGGUGAGGUAACGGCUCACCAAGGCAAUGAUCGGUAGCUGGUCUGAGAGGAUGGCCAGCCACACUGGAACUGAGACACGGUCCAGACUCCUACGGGAGGCAGCAGUGGGGAAUCUUGCGCAAUGGGCGAAAGCCUGACGCAGCGACGCCGCGUGGGGGAUGAAGCUUUUCGGAGUGUAAACCCCUUUCGACCGAGACGAAUGCCCGCAAGGGAGUGACGGUACCGGUAGAAGAAGCCCCGGCUAACUACGUG
rnacentral:rRNA from 1 species